rnacentral:rRNA from 1 species
GACGAACGCUGGCGGCGUGCCUAACACAUGCAAGUCGAACGGAAAGGCCCUGCUCUUGUGGGGUGCUCGAGUGGCGAACGGGUGAGUAACACGUGAGUAACCUGCCCUUGACUUUGGGAUAACUUCAGGAAACUGGGGCUAAUAUCGGAUAGGAGCUCCUGCUGCAUGGUGGGGGUUGGAAAGUUUCGGCGGUGGGGGAUGGACUCGCGGCUAAUCAGCUUGUUGGUGGGGUAGUGGCUUACCAAGGCUUUGACGGGUCGCCGGCCUGGGAGGGUGACCGGCCACAUUGGGACUGAGGUAGGGCCCAGACUCCUACGGGGGGCAGCAGUGGGGAAUAUUGCACAAUGGGCGGAAGCCGGAUGCAGCGACGCCGCGUGCGGGAUGACGGCCUUCGGGUUGUAAACCGCUUUCGCCUGUGACGAAGCGUGAGUGACGGUAAUGGGUAAAGAAGCACCGGCUAACUACGUG